GCCAGAGUGGCAUAGUGGUUCGGGUGUUGGACUAGGACUCUGGAGACAAGAGUUCAAAUCCCUGUUAGGCCA